UACGGGGGGGUAAGCGUUGUUCGGAAUUACUGGGCGUAAAGGGCUCGUAGGCGGCCAACUAAGUCAUACGUGAAAUCCCUCAGCUUAACUGGGGAACUGCGUGUGAUACUGGAUGGCUUGGAUGUGGGAGAGGGAUGCGGAAUUCCAGGUGUAGCGGUGAAAUGCGUAGAUAUCUGGAGGAACACCGGUGGCGAAGGCGGCAUCCUGGACCAUUAUUGACGCUGAGGAGCGAAAGCCAGGGGAGCAAAGCGGG
rnacentral:rRNA from 1 species